AUGCUAUACGGUGCUUGCUCCACUUCGAUUGUUGCAACCUGCAGCUACUCCUGAAUAUAUUAAUGAGCCAGUGUCCAGCAGAACAAGAGAUAAACUACUAAAGCAAGGGACACUCAAUGUUAAAGCUAUUCAGUGCAAAAGGAGGCAUUUCAACCAAACCAAUGAGAGUGUGUUGGAUAGAUAGAGCUAGAACAAAUUAGCAGCCAGUGUUCUCGGUUUCUCGCAUAUGCAGUUCAACUGGGCGGUGUUUCCUUAUUACUAGGAGGGUGUGGUUUACAAGUAGAGACACAGACAAUGUUCAGUCGGGCAGAGGCAGGGCGUGGGGGACAAGUAUUGAUCUGCAAGGUAAUGAUUUUGGUUUAUUGAACAAUUUAUAUGUGCGAUCUCCCCGCUGUGCUUAUUGUAGUUAGUGAUGAUUUUCGUUUUCAAGUCGAACCCAUUUGGCAGCCCAAACCCCAGCUUGAUUAAGAUUGUCACUCACAUCAUAGAAAACCACCACACCAAUGAACACUCCUUCGUGUCCUCCUGUGAAUGUAAGAUCAUAACAAUAUUUACCUUCUCGUGAGCAUUUUGGUGUUGAUAGAGUCAGAGCUGAACCAAGUAGAAAUUUUAAUAAAUUUGGGCUUAUCUGUUUUUCACAAUUGCUGAAAGUGAUCAUUACCUUAUCCAAAAAGUAGUUCUACAUUUUACAGUAAGUUGUUUGAGGUCAGGUGGUAGUUGGCAUGUAUGCCAUGCAUGGAGUCCAUGUAACUAAGGAUGAAUUGAUAGUAUGUAAUCAUUAAUUUCUUAUUUGUCUCGCUCGAACAUCUGUAAUACCUAGGCUACUAUUUUUUAUGGAGGCAUAUAUUUAGCACAAAUGUGAGAGCUAUUGAGUGAUCUGAAUGAUAUUUUGUUUAUGAAUUUUGCAUGCAAAUAUUGGAGAUCAAAGUUUACAGAAGCCCAAGACAAUAAUGACGAAGCAGGAGAACAGAUUAAAAACGUCACAUUUUUACAAAUAAGUAUAUACUAUUUAUGGUUUUGUAAAGUAGUUAUGGUCUUCAUACUCAAAAGGUGCAGCCUUUAUGUAUAUAUAGUUCGUUAGAUGAUAUUUGUAUGGGUUUGCACCUUAUGUCUAUGAUAUAACUUUGAUUCUUGUUUAGGAUAGCUAAGCACAAAUUUGAAACGCAGCCCGUGGUGUUUUCCCUUCAGGAUAUGUGUAUACAAGCUUUAUUAAAGACACCAACAGUAGGUCAUGUUCUGCUGCAAUAAGGAAUGACAAAGGUCAAUUUACCUUCUUAGCCUGGGACGUUAUUCCUUUUUCUGAGAGCGUAGAAGCUGCAAAAUCCAUUGCCUGCCUGGUGGGAGUCAAGCAGGUGCUCAUGAUAGUUCAUACAGGAAUCAUUGUUGAGAGAGAUUGUGCAUCUCUCAUAAAAAAUCUUUCAAAUAGUGAAAGACAUAGUCCGAGGAUUGCUACAGCAUCCUGCUAGACAUCAAGCAAAACCCUAGAGCAACUUCCAGACUUCAAACUGAAGAAGAUUCGUAGACAUGAUAAUGUCCUGGGUCAUGGACUAGCAAAACUUAUCUGUGUGAGUGGUAGUGGUGGUGUGUUGCAAGUUGCCUCCCUGCGUGUUGGAAUUGGCCUUGCUGAUCUGUAAUCAAAACUCUCUUUCUGAUUAAUGAUAACACCAGUUUCAUUUUUGAAGAAA